UUGUACAAUGGGCUCUGUGCUCUGAGGAAUUAUUUGACAUGAUGCCAAUGGCCGUUUUCUAUCACCGCACCGCUCGCCGCCGGCAGGGUGUUCAUCCUCACACCCUAGAACCUAAAUGGUCGCGUACUGUGCGAUUUAAGAGGAAUUUCCUCCCGCGGACGCUCCGGCUGUGGAAUGAGCUCCCUUCCGAGGGUCUACAGUAUGGGGUUCUUCAAAAAAGGAGUGUACAGGGUUUUAAAGGGUCGGCAACGCGCAUGUAACAUCUCUGGAGUUGCAGGCGUCCAUAGGCUACGGUGAUUGCUUACCAUCAGGUGGGCCGUAUGCUUGUUUGCCACCGAUGUGGUUUAAAAAAACGUAA